rnacentral:rRNA from 1 species
UACGAAGGGGGCUAGCGUUGCUCGGAAUCACUGGGCGUAAAGGGUGCGUAGGCGGGUCUUUAAGUCAGGGGUGAAAUCCCAAGGCUCAACCUUGGAACUGCCUUUGAUACUGGGAAUCUUGAGUCCGGGAGAGGUGAGUGAAACUGCGAGUGUAGAGGUGAAAUUCGUAGAUAUUCGCAAGAACACCAGUGGCGAAGGCGGCUCACUGGCCCGGAACUGACGCUGAGGCACGAAAGCGUGGGGAGCAAACAGG